UUAUAGCCAUUUGCUAUUUCUGGUUGGCCC
rnacentral:piRNA from 1 species